GCAGCUGACGAGUCCUCAACUGACGCUAAUGCUCGAAAGUGCGGGUAUCGAACAGGAUUAGAUACCCUGGUAGUCCGCACGGUAAACGAUGGAUGCCCGCUGUUGGCGAUACAAUGUCAGCGGCCAAGCGAAAGCGUUAAGCAUCCCACCUGGGGAGUACGCCGGCAACGGUGAAACUCAAAGGAAUUGACGGGGGCCCGCACAAGCGGAGGAACAUGUGGUUUAAUUCGAUGAUACGCGAGGAACCUUACCCGGGCUUGAACUGCAGCAGAACGAUUGAGAGAUCAUGAGGCCCUUCGGGGCUGCUGUGGAGGUGCUGCAUGGUUGUCGUCAGCUCGUGCCGUGAGGUGUCGGCUUAAGUGCCAUAACGAGCGCAACCCCUUUCGUCAGUUGCCAUCAGGUCAAGCUGGGCACUCUGGCGACACUGCCACCGUAAGGUGUGAGGAAGGUGGGGAUGACGUCAAAUCAGCACGGCCCUUACGGCCGGGGCUACACACGUGUUACAAUGGGUGGUACAGAGAGUUGGAGCACCGCGAGUUGCUUCUAAUCCUUAAAGCCGUCCUCAGUUCGGAUUGGGGUCUGCAACCCGACCCCAUGAAG
rnacentral:rRNA from 1 species